rnacentral:rRNA from 1 species
AGGACGAACGCUGGCGGCGUGCUUAACACAUGCAAGUGGAGCGACGAACCGGGGCUUGCCCCGGGGCAGAGCCGCGAACGGGUGAGUAACACGUGGGUUACCUGCCUUGAUGACCGGGACAACCCGAGGAAACUCGGGCUAAUACCGGAUGUGCCCGCAAGGGGAAAGGAAGCUUCGGCCUCCGCAUCAAGAUGGGCCCGCGGCCCAUUAGCUUGUUGGUGAGGUAACGGCUCACCAAGGCUUCGAUGGGUAGCUGGUCUGAGAGGACGAUCAGCCACACUGGGACUGAGACACGGCCCAGACUCCUACGGGAGGCAGCAGUGGGGAAUCUUGCGCAAUGCGCGAAAGCGUGACGCAGCAACGCCGCGUGGGGGAAGAAGGCUCUCGGGUUGUAAACCCCUUUCAGUUGGGACGAAGCUUCGUCGGUUAAUAGCCGGCUGGAGUGACGGUACCUUCACAAGAAGCACCGGCUAACUACGUGCCAGCAGCCGC